UCAAAGAACACUACCUCCUCUGGUGAAGA
rnacentral:piRNA from 1 species